GAGACUUCCAAAGUGAAGUUCAUUAGCUAAUUUACAAUCCAUGAGGCAUGUCUCAUAUCUCUGUAUUCAGAAUCAAUUUGGCACAAAGAUGUUCUUGAGGCUUCUUAAAGCCAAGUAAAGGGGAAAAAACCCUUAAGGAUUUUGGAGUUUUACUUUGAAAACUCUCUAAAAAAUUGUGAAAGAGUGAACUUACAAAUCCUUACAGAGUAGUAGCUGAAGACAGAGGCAGGCAAAAACAGCAUGAUUUAGCUUCUACUUGGCAGCUUCAAAUAGCUUAGUCUUGUCACUUUCCUCCCCUAGUGAGGAGAUGAGGCAGCUAAGGGGUCAUGUAUGCCCUUUGCCCUCAGACAGGAGGGUCAGAAAACUGGGAGGACCUGUCAUUGGAAUCCAUAUGGUGAGAGUUGGCCCUUCUGAAGUGGGGCCGUUCCAGGUUUCUACUGAUCAUCUUCCUGGAUGACCCAGCCUCUGGACCAAUAGCUCUGAGCUACAGUACAGUAUACUUUCAAUACAGCUGAGGAGGUGCACACUCCUCAUGUGUCAGCCCAGCGUCGGCUACCGCUUCACUGGCCCUUUCUCAAUAAAGUCGUGAGUCUUGCUAGGUGUCACUUACUUGGGGUUUAGUUAGAAUGGAGGUUUCCUGAUGAACAGCCUCAGAUGUGAGAAUCUUCUACUAGAAAAAUAUAAAUAUUUUGUCUUCAUCUUAUCAAAAAUUAGAAUAGAAGAACUGUUCAGCUGACUUAUUGAUCUAGAUUUGAGUAGAACACUUGUAUUCCAUUCAACACACAUUUUAACAUGUCCAAUACUUUAAGGCUCAGUGACUUGUAUAUGAUAUUUGUUAUUUAAGUAUAAAUCAUGUAAAACUAUACUUUAAAAAAGUAUUUGUGUAAAAUAAAAGGUGGAAUGUCAGGUGCUUUCUUGGGGUUUGACUUUCACACACACUAUUUAGACAUGUUUAAAGGAUGGAAGAAACAAGAUAUUAUAGAGUCUUUUUGUCACUUUAGAACUUAUAGUUAACCACAUAGAUUAAAACAGCUAAGUUUAGCCAGUCAUGAAGUUCAUACCUGUAAUCCCAGGGCCUGUUAGGGUGAGUCACUUCAAACCAGCUUGAGCUACAGUGAGACCCUGCCUCAAAAGUCUGUAACUAUUGUGUUAAGGAAAUUAUAGCAUAUGCUACUAAUUAUGAAUAAUAUAGAAGACUUGAAUACAUAUUAUUUUAGAUUUUAGGAGCAUGACACUCACUGGGCAGUUUAUAUAGAUACAAAAUAACAGGUGCUGGCUAAGAACCAUGGAGCAGGAACCCAUGUGAGAGCUGGAAAGGGGAGCAGUUAGGAGGGAGGAAGGGAGGAAACCAGCGUGGGUGGUA
rnacentral:lncRNA from 1 species